rnacentral:rRNA from 1 species
CCCUUAGAUGUUCUGGGCCGCACGCGCGCUACACUGACGAAUGCAACGAGCUUAUAACCUUGGCCGAAAGGUCUGGGUAAUCUCCAAAUUUCGUCGUGAUGGGGAUAGAUUAUUGCAAUUAUUAAUCUUCAACGAGGAAUGCCUAGUAAGCGCAAGUCAUCAGCUUGCGUUGAUUACGUCCCUGCCCUUUGUACACACCGCCCGUCGCUCCUACCGAUUGAAUGGUCCGGUGAAGCGCUCGGACCGCGGCCUCUUGACGGUUUUCCGUCGAUUGGCUGUGGGAAGUUCGUUAAACCUUAUCAUUUAGGGGAAGGAGAAGUCGUAACA